GCUUCUGAUUCCCUGCUUUUGAUGGAUCGUCUUAUGUGCAAAUCUCACGUGUAGCAUACAUCUGAAUUGGCCAUAAGAGCUCAGUUUAAAAAUGGUGGUCAAGUGUAUUUGCAAAAAUGGACCAAAUGAUCCCACAACUGAGAAUG